CAGGCUGAGAGCGUGUGUUUGAUAGCAGAGCCGUUUUUCGAGAUAGACAGCUGUUUUGUGGGAAGUUGAGUUGAACUUUGAAGAGAGAGUUCAAGAGUACGUGAAACCGUUCAGGGGUAAACCUGAGAAACCCGAAAGAUCGAAUGGGGAGAUUCAUCGUCAACUGCUUUGGUAUCCGUGCGACGCGCGAUGCUCGGGAUCUCGGUUCCGAGUCACGCCGUUGCUGCGCGAUAAUUCCGAGGCGGUCGGCGUGCACUUCUCCCCUAGUAGAACGUCGCGACCCGUUGAGUGCUCGUCAAAGAUUCGAGAUGGUCGACUGACGCGCCUUGGCCGCAAGGUCAGUUUAACGCGUCAGACCGCUUGAGGUCCGACGAGCUGCUCGACGGUAGUCGAUACACAAACACACGGCACUGAGCCGCAGCAAAUGCGUUCAGGCGCUCCGGCAGGCGGUGGCCUUCUGGGAUCCGGACUCUGCGCCGCUUCUCGGACUGCGCCAACGCCGGCAGCCGGGGCUGUUCUCGAACUGGCUCUCGGCGUUCGUUUACGGACGUUGCCCGUCCGCGACGCUACUGCUUUGGGUACUUUCAGGACCCGUCUUGAAAACGGACCAAACC
rnacentral:rRNA from 1 species